CUCACUGUCGCAUCCCUGUCCGGUACUGUAGGUAUAGGAUCCGGAAUCUCUCUGUCAGUCGUCUGCCGCAGUAACAGAUCCUCUAACCUCUUCAUCCUGUCCUCCUGACGACGCACAGCAUCCAUCUGCUGUCGUGCUGCUGCAGCCUGCUGAGUAACCAAAUCCGUCAACAUCGCAAGCUGAUCCUGUAACUCAUGGAUCCCACUAGAUCCCGAAGUAACAGAAGUCCCCACUUCCUCUGCAUUUGUCGCCUCAGCUGCCCCGGCGGCUUGCGAACGAGUCAACGGCAUCUUAAGCUGCAGCACAAAAACAAACAUAGGUCAAUAAACCCUAUACUAUUGAACCCUCAUUGAGGAUAUAACCAGCUAAUGAAGCGAAAGUAAUGAAAUGUAACGCGUACUAACUUCCGAUGUCACGUUGUCGGCCGCCAACGUGACCCUCUGCAAAGUUAGUAAUUGCACAUUCCNUGUGGUUCUUGCUCUUAAAUGUAUUGCACUUGUGUGCGCUAUGUUCGAUCAUGUAUGUUAUCUAAGCAUUUCUGGGCGCUUAUUUGUACAUGAUCUGGUUGUUUAGCCUUGGGCGGACAGGAGAGGUGCUGUCCGUUCGGCGUCUGUUCGACGCGCCCGAACCGGACCAAAUUGGUAGCGGCAUCGGGGCGUGACAUACUCCUUUAGCGUUUAGCUUUUACAUUCAUUAGCAUACUUUACAUACAUUUACUUAGCAUCUAGCUCAUGUCAUUAUAUGCAUUUAUUAGCAUCAUUGCCGUACAUUCUUAAUUAGCAUUCUUAUUAUGCAUUCUUACUUAACAUUCUUGUCAUGCAUCAAUAGUGAAACACACUACACUUUGGCAUGAAGGCGACCUAGUCGCUUCGGUAAACACAACCCACCUCUUAAUGCGUUCCAAUUGCUUGUCGUCACUUGCAAUCGGCCUCCCGCGGCACCCGUGACCCGGUUCGGCUCGAACUCUCGCGCGACCACCCGAACGACCACCAAUUCGCGAUCCGUCUGUUCGGGAGUUUAUUCCCCGACACCACGAUGCUCCCGAUCCAUUUUCAUGAUUUUUGGAGGCUUAUCCCGCGUGCUGCGGCUAUCUGUACCAAAACAGAUUGUUUCGUCAAUAACUUCGCGUACGCUCGUCGGAUUGUCGAACCGAGCGCACCAACGCGUUCGUUAUACCCCCAAUUAGGUUUGUAUAGGGUCAAUUGAGAUCAAACUCAACUAUUUACAAAAACCCCUUUUGGAGCCCUAAUAUGCAACUAUUGCAAAAUGCCCCAUUUCAUCUUAUGAAUCAAGCAUAAACCAUCUAUUUAGCAUGCUAAGAUUCCAUCUAAACCAUCUUUAUAGUAUAAGAACUUAACCCUAAAGAUCUACCAUUAAAGCUCCAAGAAGCUUACCUCAAGAAGCUUGCUCCAUUGCAAGGAGGAAGAAGAUGAGGAUGACUCUCUCCUCCUUGUCUUCUUCUCCUUCUUUUUCUUCUCUUCUCCUUUUUCUUCUCUUCACCUUCCUCUUUUACUUUCUAGAGAGAGAGAGGAGAGAUUUUGGUGCAAUAUGGUGAGGGAAAGGGAGAGAGAGAGAGGUUCUAAUCCUCUCUUUACUCAUAACCCAUGCACAAAAUGCCAAUAAGUCCCUCAACAAUGCCUCUCUCGCAACAGCCCGAACUGGGCAUUUUCGGGGUCUAGGACCGGUCCCAAGCAGUGAGAGACCGGUCCCCGAAAGGCCAGAAUUCCAGACUUAGCCAAUUUUUUAGCAUUUUCAACCUCUAUCCUUUUUCACUCCGUUUUCGCUCGUUUUCGCUCGUUUGACCUCCGUUUCUUUUCAAAUCGAACCGAGACUCUCCAAACAUGUUUUCGAACAUGUUUUCAUCAUCUUUUCAUCCACGCUAAUGCCGGAUUUAGGUCCACGGUCCAACAUAGCCUUUCGGGUUCCGUUCUCGCGCCCUACGCGCACCGAAGCACCCGAACUUUGCCGAAACGAUUACAAUGGCUUUCUAAGCUAACAUACAUCGUAACUUCAUGAAUUAGAAGUUCGGUAUAUUACACAGUGCUAUGACUAAAUCAUGCUGAUAUGCUCAAUGCGAAAAUUGGUAGAAAAUCGAUGCCUUGAUUGAAGCCAAAUAUAAAGGCAUACAACGCCGAACCAUGAUCAACUAGAUCGAAACACACGACAAAAGAGUCGAUGUGUUGUCUGGACCCGGGUCCACAGAUAUACAAUAUAUGAAAGCCUGCUCUACAUGUCUACGAACAACUAUCACCAUGCAACUAUCAAGAUAUAGAUAAACGAACAAUAAACAAAGGCAACCGACAUGUAGAGACUAAAAUACUGAUAUGCAAGUGCAAUAGCAAGGAAAAGGAAAGUAAAACAAUCUCACUGACUUCCAGGUUGAAGCACCCACCUGUCACAGUCGCGUCUGAAUUCUGGACGCGCAAGAAGUCAACCGGACCUACGAUGGGUCCACCGAGUUAGAGACAAACCCCUACUGACUCAACGAAAGAACUGACACAAAUCCCACAUCCCGAGAUUCAGUUUCCCAACAAUCGAGCUCCGCAAACCACCGAGAACGCCCUGAAAUCACACCGGGACAUCCCCGGGACCCACAUAAAGUCCCAGAAGGCACCGACUUGCACUAGGAGCUGACCGCUACCUCGAAACACACCCAUUUGGGUGUUCUGGCAACAAUCACUAAGUCCUACACCAAAAUGAUUCUCUUCGGAUAACCAUUCUAAUUCGGGUUAUCGAAAAUGUCUAAUUCGACAUUGGAAUCCACCGCCGCUCGCCCGACAUCUUCGGACACUCGAGACGGCAUAGGUGACCAGCCAACACGGCUCUACAGCAAAACAAACGGCAAUCCAAAAGCAUCGAAAGAAUCCCGACCCAAAACAGCAUUUCUCUGGCGGGUUUCGCCGAAAAACGCGCAAAACGGCAACUCGAUCCCCGUGGAAGGCCCCAAACCUUAGAUAAUCAAUCCAGAGGUCACCUACACUCUGCCCACAGUAGCCACCCCAAUUGUGCAAAAGACCCUUCCAUAAACAAUAUAGCAUUUAUAUGAAUAGUGGGUAGAGAUACCGCGAUCCGAGCAUUCCCGAGGUCGGCCGAGGCGAAGGCCGUGCUCACUGUCCGAAGCACAGCGAGCAAUCGAGGAGCAGACAAGAACGUCCCAAAAAUAAGCGGUCGAGGCGAACGGGAAGCGACGGAGGUGAAAACCCAAGAUCAGGCCUCUGCGGCGGAAGUUGAGGUGAGUAUUGUGAUCGGGGGACUCUCAGGAUUACGGUGCUCCCCUCCGUAAGUUCCGAGGAGGUCCGGAUGCGUCGAAACAGCGCGAUGAUCGAAACCAAGUAUAACCGGCCAAUAGGAGAGGUUCUGGGUUCACUCCGGCCUACUGGGGCUCCAGCGGUAAGGGCGCCGGUGGCAGCCGGAUGCGGUCGCCUACGGGAAGCCGGCGCGUGCAUCGGCCGGCAACAAGGCGGUGGGCAAUGAUACCCUAGCCACAAGAAACAAGGGGAGAGAUCGACUUUGCUUCUCCGGCAACGGCGGCCACAGGGCGGCGUCGACCGAUGGCGAGGGUACCCGGAUGUCACGCCCGGGUACCAGCGGAAGCAUAUCCGGUACGUGCACAGACCCGCCAUACACCUGCAGUAUAUAAGGCGUCUACGAAGAAGGCAAGUCGAUAGGAAGUAAAACCAAGAGAGUCCUAUCCUGAUAUCAGAGCAAUGUACAAGUCGAUUUACAAUCAGUAAAAGAACCGAGAGUAUACAAUCCAAAAUCCCAACAAAAGGAGAAGAAGUAAAAAAAACUAUAACAUCUGGAUCUACAACCUAUAUACAAUAUAGGGUAUACAAAAACAUCUGUACAAAGGUGGUCACUCUAUACAAUGGACAUCACCCUCGGCCGUAGCCCGAGUAGCAAGGUGAUCGACUAGCACGCUCCUAGCAAAGUCUAGCUAGACGCGACUCCCUUGNCAAAGUAUUUUCGCUAACAACAACCUCGACUAGACAUCGUCUCUCACGAGCCUAUCCUUAUAGUUCAACCAGCCUAAGGUUUGCUAGGUCUACGAAGACUCAACCCUAGGCUCUGAUACCACUAUAAUCUGUCACGCCCGGGUACCAGCGGAAGCAUAUCCGGCACGUGCACAGACCCGCCAUACACCUGCAGUAUAUAAGGCGUCUACAAGAAGCAAGUCGAUAGAAAGUAAAGCAAAGAGAGUCCUAUCCUGAUAUCAGAGCAAUGUACAAGUCGAUAUACUAUCAGUAAAAGAACAAAGAGUGUACAAUCCAAAAUCUCGACAGAAGAGAAGUAUCACGGCUGUAGUUCUCGGUCCAAAGAGUACAUAUACAUCACGGGUAUACAAAAAUAGGUACAAUGGUGGUUUCUCUAUACAAAAGGGACAUCACCCUCGGUCGUAGCCCGAGUAGCAAGGUGAUCGACUAGCACGCUCCUAGCAACGACUAGCUAGACGCGACUUCCUUGCCACGAUCCCUAGCCUCUCCUGCAGAUGGCUCUGUAAAAACAACCACCAAAAGGGCGUGAGAACUAUUAACAAUAGUUCCCAGUGGGUAAGCCGCUAGCCUCGGCGAAUUACACCACUAGGCUCAUGAUGUACUGAAAGUAAGUAGAAGCGAUAAAUGCAUGAUAUAGAAAUAUGCAGUGCUAACCGGUAACAAGCAUGUAUUCAACAUGUAAAUAUGAUUUCUGCAGUAAUGAAUCAACUAAAUAAUAGAAGUAUUGCAACUAUUAUGAACAUGAUCCUACACAUAAUCAUAGAAAUGUAAGUACUACUGUACACUACAACUGAUACUCAUUCAUUACUGUCAUUAUCAUUUCCACUCUCAUUUUCAUUCACUAGGACCUACCCAAGGUAGUCCAACUUGCGCCGCGCCUAAUGGCCCCGUGGUAGUAUACACUCCCCACGGCAAUCCACUUCGGCACCAAAUCCCGCACGGGCUAGCAACUGUCGCGUAGGCCAACUCCGGAGUGCCGGCUUGUAGGGAGCGACCCUCACAAGCGUGUGCGAAUGAGCACGGUGGCAGGCAAGCACAAUCCAUUGUCCACAUGUCUCAAUUUUCAUAUUUUCAUUUACAAUGUUCUUACCCUCGAUCCUCCGAUCGGAAUUUCAAUACACAAAUAGUAACAAGAACUAGUAUCCACUAGAUUGUAAACAUGUAAGGGUAAUGCUAAAUCACAUGGCAUUAUAAUCUUUCCACUAUCAUGACAUUAUCAACAAGUCAUAGUUCUCUACUUUAGAGUCAAGAGCAUGUCAUUGUUCUCUAUUGUUCAUAAGUCAUUCAACUGAAUUGAAUAUGAAUAUAAAUACUUUCAUGCCUAUAUGUUCUCUACUUUAUAGAGAUUUCAUUCUACUUAAGCAUCAAUUAUCACAAUGAUAUGUUUCCAAUUCUCUAUCAAUCACAUAUGCACUCAAUGCACCUAUGCGAUUAUUCUAUUCUGUAAAUACAUAUAGAACAUAGGGGAACUCCACUUGCUCUGGUUAGGUCCGACCCACCUAGUACUAAGUAGCCCAACGGAGUCCCAAACUCCAGCUCAAUCAAGUUUCAGCCCUGCGGAAGAACAAAUGUUGGAAUCGCAUCAAACGUAACCGAACUGCCCAAAUUCGGCUCAAUUGCACAUGGUACAAGGUAGCAACUUAAAUCCCUGUUUUGGGUCAGUGAAAUACCUCAAGUUAAGCCUCCAAAAGCUCUCACCACUCAGCUGAAAGCAAUCCAAGGGUCAAAUGCAAUCCUGCUGCGAAUAAAUGUUAAACGGCGUCAAAACGCUCGUAUCCUAGUUCCAAAAGCCGAAACCAUGCGAAUUCAGUUUUCUAACUGAACUUACAGCUUACCUCUGGAUGAAACACCCUGUAAACAAGUUCCCAAGAUCACUAAUUUCACGUAAAAUGCAUCGGUCACCUGCUGCGGAGAAACCAAUUUCCAAACUGCAUCAAUAGUUCGAUUAAUGUCGUAUAGUUAUAAACAAACUCUUGCUGACCCGGUUCCCUAAAGGUUACCGUUCUGUUCGUGCAAUCUAUGGUGGCAUAAUAUUGUGUCAACCAAUCCAUACCCAAUACUACAUCAAACUCACCUAGUUUGUGUAGUGCCAAUAAAUCCACUGGCAUAAUCCAGUCGCCUACCCUAACUGGGCAGCGAGGGCAAAACUCACGAACAUCUAGGAUAUGGUCAGGUACAACUACUCGUCCCAGAUGCAAAGUAGGUGCUAAAGGAAUGCUAUGCAACUCGGCGAACUGCCGAUCAAUAAAAGAAUGCGAAGCACCAGAAUCAAAUAAUGCACGAACACGAAUAUCAUAAAGCAUAAUAAUACCUGCUACGACCUCCUGUGCUGCUGCAGCGCCCUCAGUCUGGGCGGCAUACAUCCGCCCACUCGAACCCUGCUGCGAGCUCUCCGACUGCCGCUGUCCUGGUGGUCGCCUAGACUGAUACGGUGCUGUCGGGGUCCCCUGGCUCGGAGCUGAAGAUGCAGGCGCAGUCGCUGACGAGGGUGCAGGCAAAGAACCUCUCGGGCACUCUGAACGAAAAUGGCCCUCCUGGCCGCAAAGAAAGCACCUGCCCCCACGCUGUGGACACUGUGGCGGUACGUGAGGCCCACCACAGAUAACACAACGCGGCGGUCGACGACGCUCGGGUGCUCCACGGGGUGCCGAAGAACCUCGACCCCUCGACUGUCCUGACUGUCCCCUCGGAUACUUUGACGGUCUCCGAAAGGACUGCUGACCACUGCUCUCGACUGCUGGCCUCUUUCCCUUGCUUCUAUCCACAACGUCUCUUUCUUUCAUAAUCUCCGCCCCUUUCUUAACGAUCAAUGCUCUGUUCACUACAUCCCUGUAAGUAGAUAGGUUUGACGCCUGGACCAAUCGGAAAAUCGCAGGUCGCAAACCCACCUCAAAUAUGCGAGCCUUGUCCUCAUCAUCUCGAACUACAAAAGGAACGCAGUGCAGUAAUCGGGAGAACUCUCGCUCGUACUCUGCCACUGUCCUGUCCCCCUGCCUCAGGUUUCUCAGAUCCCUUUCCAUCUGUCUCUUUACACUCUGAGGAAAGUAAGUAGUCAAUAACAAUUCCUUGAAUCUCGUCCAGGUGAUAGCGGAUAAAUCAGCACGGGGAUCCUCACGGAUAUCCACCCACCACCUGUAAGCCUCGCCAUCAAGGUGGUGUGUCGCAAACCAAACUCGAUACCGCUCCUCAACAAAUGUAUCAUAGAAUAGCUUCUCCAUGUGCAUUAGCCAUUUCUCGACCACCCAGUGAUCUGCUUUCUCCCCGUCAAAGAUACGAGGGGUGCAACGACGGAAUUAAUUCAAUUGUUCCAUCAUCCGUUCUCGCUCCUCAGCCCCCACCAUCUCGGGUAACACUGUCCCUGAUGUUGCUACAGGUACUGGUGGUGGUACUACUGUCUCCUGUCGGGUCUCUGCCCUCGGAGCCACUGGAGGUGUAUCAAGUACAGGUGACUGUGCUCUCACUGUAGUGCCCCCCUCUGGUGCUAUAGGUACAGAAUCUGGAAUCUCUCUGUCGGUCGUCUGCCGCAGUAACAGAUCCUCUAACCUCUUCAUCCUGUCCUCCUGUCGACGCACAGCAUCCAUCUGCUGUCGUGCUGCCGCAGCCUGCUGAGUAACCAAAUCCGUCAACAUCGCAAGCUGAUCCUACAACUCAUGGAUCCCACUAGAUCCCGAAGUAACAGAAGUCCCCACUUCCUCUGCAUCCGCCGCCUCAGCUGCCCUGGCGGCUUGCGAAUGAGUCAAAGGCAUCUUAAGCUGCAGCACAAAAACAAACAUAGGUCAAUAAACCCUAUAC
rnacentral:lncRNA from 1 species